rnacentral:rRNA from 1 species
UUCCUACGGGAGGCAGCAGUGAGGAAUAUUGGUCAAUGGGCGGGAGCCUGAACCAGCCAAGCCGCGUGAGGGAAGAAGGUACAGCGUAUCGUAAACCUCUUUUGUCAGGGAACAAAGGCGGGGACUAGUCCCCGGACGAGGGUACCUGAAGAAAGAGCAUCGGCUAACUCCGUGCCAGCAGCCGCGGUAAUACGGAGGAUGCGAGCGUUAUCCGGAUUUAUUGGGUUUAAAGGGUGCGUAGGCGGAAUGCCAAGUCAGCGGUAAAAUCGCGGGGCUCAACCUCGCUCCGCCGUUGAAACUGGCGU